rnacentral:tRNA from 1 species
GUAGGUUAGGUUCAGUUGGUUAGAGCAUGUGUCUGUUAACCAUAAGGUCGGAGGUUCAACCCCUCCUUCUAGUG